UACGUAGGGGGCAAGCGUUGUCCGGAAUCAUUGGGCGUAAAGAGCGUGUAGGCGGCCCGGUAAGUCCGCUGUGAAAGUCCAGGGCUCAACCCUGGGAUGCCGGUGGAUACUGUCGGGCUCGAGUCCAGAAGAGGCGAGUGGAAUUCCUGGUGUAGCGGUGAAAUGCGCAGAUAUCAGGAGGAACACCAAUGGCGAAGGCAGCUCGCUGGGACGUGACUGACGCUGAGACGCGAAAGCGUGGGGAGCGAACAGG
rnacentral:rRNA from 1 species